rnacentral:lncRNA from 1 species
GCUGAAAUGAAGGAGGAGCCUCCACAAAUCUGAAUACGUGCGCACCAUCUUCUGACACUCCAUCACCGAGUCCGCUCUUUCUUUUGUGAAAUCGAGGAACAGCUGGUUCAUUUCACAUGCAAGAUAGGAGAAUCGGUGGUGGAAGUAGAGCAGAUUGUCAAUGGACUGGUUUUGAAAUGGUCGUUGGCCUCCCUUCCUCCAGAGAGAGAGCGGCCAGGAAAAGCAUUCUGACAACUGCAGCCACCCCACUCCUGCCAGCAGACCUGACUUCAGGAGAGAAGAUUAGCAAAGCGAGCUCCACGCCUGGUCUCUGCAUCAGAAUCACGGUCAGCUGCACUGCCCUGGCAUCCUUCUGCUCUGCUGUGAGCAACCUGCAGCCUUCAGCUUGCUCUGAGUGAGGGUUAAGCCAAAUGCUUCUGGAGGUCCCCCCAAGUGCAAUGAAGCUGAUGUUCCAGAGCUGCAAGGUGGCUGAACAGAUGCUCUGUACGAAGGGACACAUCACCCUGAGAUGCCAGCUUGCUCCCUACUCAAGGGGCAGUUUCCCAAGCUAAUUAUCAACGUAAAGCCAAAGGGGAUUUGAUCAUUAAUGCAAUUAAAUAAUUGAACCGAGGCGAUUAGAUGUGUGACUAACAUGUGACCUCUGCUGCUCCCAUAUUAUACCAUCUUCUCCGAACCACCCCCACUGCUGCCCUCGUGCUCAGCAUCAAUUGACUGCAGGACUGAAUUGCAAAACCCCUUCCCUCUGCCUCAAGGAACACGCUCAGAUGUGUGCUGAAGCCACACGUCCUGCACUGCCAACCACAGUGCCAGCAGGGAACCACCCUCACACAGAGCACCAGGACCUGCUCCUCAGCCACAGAGCCUUCAUCCCAUCCGUGCCACUAACAGUGCAUUCAGAAAGCUGCUUGCAUCUCACCUUGGAGCAUCCAACCCAACUGUGUGGAGCUUCACUUCAACUAGAGAUGAGUGUGCUGUGGUCAGGGAUGCCCAGGUACUGAGAUGUCAUUUUCUUCCUGGGAAUGGCAAGCUCUUGGGGAUGUCUCCCUGGCUAUCCUUCUCUGUCUUCCUUCAGCUGUGUUGGACAUUAUUCCAGCAAGCUCUGUGAACUAAAUUUCAGAAAGUUUUCCUUCUUUCAACAAUCAGAAUUCAAAAUAUGUUUCUCUGCCAUACAUAGGAGUGCAGAGGGUGCACCAGGUGAGCAGAAUGGAAGCUGAGCUGCAAAGUCCCUCAGAGCUCCUUUUCUCAAA